rnacentral:misc_RNA from 1 species
GAAAUGCGAUAAUUAAUGUGAAUUGCAGAAUUCAGUGAAUCAUCGAGUCUUUGAACGCACAUUGCGCCCCCUGGUAUUCCGGGGGGCAUGCCUGUCCGAGCGUCAUUGCUGCCCUCAAGCACGGCUUGUGUGUUGGGCUUCCGUCCCUGGCAACGGGGACGGGCCCAAAAGGCAGUGGCGGCACCAUGUCUGGUCCUCGAGCGUAUGGGGCUUUGUCACCCGCUCCCGUAGGUCCAGCUGGCAGCUAGCCUCGCAACCAAUCAUUUUAACCAGGUUGACCUCGGAUCAGGUAGGGAUACCCUCUGAACUUAAGC